GGGGGUGUAGUUCAAUGGUAGAGCGUGUGCUUAGCAUGCUCGAGACCCCGGGUUCAAUGCCUGGCACCUCCA
rfam:TPA: Bos taurus chromosome 25, whole genome shotgun sequence.